GGGACAGGGGGGUCUCUGCCACACCGGCAGGGCCUGUCCCCCCAGGUUGCGCGAACGCGUGGCCCAGUGGUUGUCGCUCGGGGGUGAUCGCCG
rfam:Streptomyces sp. CB00455 scaffold2, whole genome shotgun sequence.